rnacentral:rRNA from 1 species
GUGGGGAAUCUUCCGCAAUGGACGAAAGUCUGACGGAGCAACGCCGCGUGAGUGAAGAAGGUUUUCGGAUCGUAAAGCUCUUUCGUUAGGGACGAACGUGCUCUUUGUGAAUAAUGAGGAGUAAUGACGGUACCUAAAUAAGAAGCCACGGCUAACUACGUGCCAGCAGCCGCGGUAAUACGUAGGUGGCAAGCGUUGUCCGGAAUUAUUGGGCGUAAAGCGCGCGCAGGCGGGAUAUCAAGUCUGUCUUAAAAGUGCGAGGCUAAACCUCGGAAGGGGACAGAAACUGGUAUUCUUGAGUGUCGGAGAGGAAAGUGGAAUUCCAAGUGUAGCGGUGAAAUGCGUAGAGAUUUGGAAGAACACCAGUGGCGAAGGCGACUUUCUGGACGAUGUCUGACGCUGAGGCGCGAAAGCUAGGGGAGCGAACGGGAUUAGAAACCCGUGUAGUCC